rnacentral:rRNA from 1 species
UACGUAGGGGGGCUAGCGUUGUCCGGAAUCAUUGGGCGUAAAGAGCGCGUAGGCGGCCCGCUAAGUCGAACGUGAAAUCCCCGAGCUCAACUCGGGAACUGCGUCCGAUACUGGCGGGCUUGAAUCCGGGAGAGGGAUGCGGAAUUCCAGGUGUAGCGGUGAAAUGCGUAGAUAUCUGGAGGAACACCGGUGGCGAAGGCGGCAUCCUGGACCGGUAUUGACGCUGAGGCGCGAAAGCCCAGGGGGAGCAAAACGGGG